GAUCCUGGCUAAGGAUGAACGCUAGCGACAGGCCUAACACAUGCAAGUCGAGGGGCAUCAGGUAUCAGCUUGCUGAUACGCUGGCGACCGGCGCACGGGUGAGUAACGCGUAUGGAAUCUGUCUGUAACAGGGGGAUAACCCGGAGAAAUUCGGACUAAUACCCCAUGCCGCCGGUUUUUUGCAUGAAAGGCCGGCGAAAGGGUAACCGGUUACAGGUGAUCAUGCGUUCCAUUAGCUGGUUGGCGGGGUAACGG
rnacentral:rRNA from 1 species